UACGUAGGGUGCGAGCGUUGUCCGGAAUUACUGGGCGUAAAGAGCUCGUAGGUGGUUUGUCGCGUUGUUCGUGAAAACCGGGGGCUUAACCCUCGGCGUGCGGGCGAUACGGGCAGACUUGAGUACUGCAGGGGAGACUGGAAUUCCUGGUGUAGUGGUGAAAUGCGUAGAUAUCGGGAGGAACACCAGUGGCGAAGGCGGCCCCCUGGGCCGCGCCUGACGCUGAGACGCGAAAGCGCGGGGAGCGAACGGG
rnacentral:rRNA from 1 species